UCUUUUUUAAGCAUUUGAUCAAACGCUUUGCACAUUUUAAAUUGAAAUGGUUGGUUUUUUACUGAGAAUUUUUGAAGGUUCUUGAUAUAUUCAGGACACAAAUCUUUUGUCACACGUAUGUAUUGUACAUAUUAUCUCUCUUAUAUCUCAGUCGUGCUUUGGACAUAUCAUCUCCCCAAUCUGUGGUAUAUCAGUCUAUUCAUUUUCUUUUUUAAAAAAAUUAUUUGCUUUCAAUUUAUUUAUUUGGGGUUUUUUUUGUUGUUUUCUUUUUUGCGGUACCAGAGAUCGAACUUAGGACCUUGUGCUUGUGAGGCAGGCAGUGGCACCACUGAGCUAAAUCCCCAACCCUCUAUUCAUUUUCUUAACAGUAUUUUCUUUUUCAAAUGUGGUUUACAUAUAUAAAAUGCACAGGUACUAACUUAGCUUCAUAGAUUGUGGCAAUGAAAUAUUCUUACAUAACCACCACCCAAAACAAAACAUAGAACAAUUACAUCACCCCUUAUCUUUCUUUUAGUCAGCGUUUCCUACCAGAGGCAACCAGUAUUUGACUUCUUUUGCUUAAAUUUUUUGUUGAACUUUAUGUAGAUGGAAACACAUAGUGUAUUUGUAAAUGAACUCUUAUAGCAGCUAUUCUUUUGUAAUUGGCUUAUUUUACUCAAUGGGUAUUUCAGCAGGGGGGUACUGAACUGAGGACCUUGGGCUCGUGAGGCAGGCGUGGUGCCACUGAGCUAAAUCCCUGGCCCAACUGGUUUUUUUUGUUUGUUUUGAUGGUUCGGGGAUUGAACCCAGGGCAUCAGACAUGCUAAGCAAGGGCUCUACCACUGAGCUACAUUCCUAGCCCUUUCUUCAAUUUUUAUUUUGAGACAGGUUCUUGCUUAGUUGCAUAGGCUAUCUUCAAACUUCAGAUCCACCUGCCUCGGCAUACUGAGGAGCUGGCAUUACACUUAUCACUGUUUUUGUUUGUUUGUUUUUGUACUGAGGAUCGAACUCAGGACCUUGUGCUUGUGAGGCAGGCAGAGAAACCAAUGAGCUAAAUCCCCGGCCCUUAACACUGUUUUUGAGAUUCAUCAGUACACUUAUGUUCUAUUGAACACAUCUGGUGCUGAAGAUCUCACUCUGAAGGAGAGCUUGCUCCCCAACUGAUGAGUUAAGAAUCUAGGAAGCCAACAGCCAUUUCCACAGAUGCCUGCCUUGUAUCUCACUGAUAUCUACUGGGUCUGUGAUACUGUUGUGGUUUUUUUGGAGGGGGUUGUUGUUAUUGUUGUUGUUAUUGUUUUUGACUCUGUUGUCCUGGUGUAAAGAAAUUCUUUAACAUAUCUUUCUUCUUAACAUCUCACUAGAUGCUUAUGCAGUCACUUGGUUUUUACCAUAUCAAGUAAGAUAAAUAAUACUUGCUAACUAAUAUUACAUGCUAAAAAAUUGCUAAUUUCUAUAAUCUUACCAUUCUUGUUCUUUCUUGCAACUGAAGGAUGAGAGGUGAGAUAAAGAGUGAGGUAAUGAGCAAGUGAGGUAAUGUCCGUGUAAGUAAACUGGAACCCAUAAAGUAUUAUGCAGAGAUGGUCUUAAUAGUACAAGCAGCCCUUGUCUUUCACCCACUUUAAUUUUGUGCUAGCUGAAUGCACAAUUUCUCCUUUGUUUACUUUUCGUAUAUUUAGGCUCUUAUCCAUCGUUCGGAGCUGUUGCAAUGUGGUACCCUCUGCCAUGCCCACAGUGCAGUCUUGCUAGGGUUGAUCUCACUGUUGGUACAGUGGGGUUUUUGUAACAAUUUGAAUACUUUUCAUCCUUUUCUUGUAGUAAUAAUAAUGAGAAGUGGAAAAAUGAGGCUGCUGCUGAGUUUAUCUUUUUUAAUUAAAAAAAAUUUAAAAAAACAUUUUUACAGUGCUGGGGAUUGGACCCAGAACUUUACGCCCAUUUAAAAAACAAAUUUUUUUUUUGAAAUAGAAUCUCACUAAGUUGACCAGGCUGACCUCACACUUGCAGCCCUCCUUCACAAGUAGCUGGGGUUACAGGCAUGUGCCACCAUGCCCAGCAAGGCUGCUGCUGACACUAAUGAAGAGAAGCAUCAGUCUCGCAACUGUGGUGUCAUUAAGUCAAGCACGAUCUUUCUCAGAGUGACCCACAGAGCUAGAACUCUGGAGCUCAAGUGAGGAAACCAGCCUAGUCCCACCACAAGGUCACAGUGCUCAACCAGGGGGCGGGACAAAGGAGAUGGACAGCCCUGCCUGACAGCAAGCCACUUCUCUUUCUCUGACAGCCCAGAGCAAUCGUUUCAUGUGAAGCCGCCUUGAUGGCACGUGUCUGCUUCACAUGGUCAAAGUAUGCUGUCCAACUGCAUUAUAGCCUCUUGUGGUAGGCAUCGUAGGUGUCAUCUUUUGGUAUUUGGGUGAGGCAGGAGUCUGAACAGUCACACUUGUAGUCUUGCUAACACUGAGAACCUGGCAGUGAUUUAAAGCACCGUUUAGUACAAGAGAGAUGACUCCUCCAGCAAUUAGUAUUGCCACAUUUUUGUAGCUAAGUCCCAAGGUAGUCUUUCACUUCAUGGCCUCGACUGCCUAUGGAUAGGAUUAGAGGGUGCAGCAAAGAUGUGUAGCCUUCACUAUCUGUUCUACCUUGAAUUAUAUGUGCAUCAAGAAUGCGCAUCAUAAGCUGGGCGUGGUGGUGCAUACCUGUAAUCCCAGCACUGGGAAGGCUGAGGCAGGAGAAUCACUGAGAGUUCAAGGCCAUCCUCAACCACAUAGCAAAACCCUGACUCAAAACAUCCAAAAUAGGGCCAGGGAUUUAGCUCAGUGGUUCCGCCGCCUGCCUCACAAGUGCAAGGACCCAAGUUCAAUUCCCAGUACCAAAAAAAAAAAAUCCAAAAUAAAAAUAUAAAAAUGCAAAUCAUAACUGCAUCAUCAGGAAAGGAACUAGUGGUGAUUUUAGCCCCCUACUAUAUUAAUGCUUUAUGUAUUGGUUUUGGAAAAACUUUGUAAAUGGAUGAAAUCAUAGUUCGAUGGUGUUUUUUGACUCUGAUAGUGCCAAUAUCACUUUUCCCUUGAUAGCAUACUAAACUUAGGUAUGUUCUAUUAUAUUUUAUUGCAUUUUCUCUCAAGAGGAAAAUUCUGCUUAAUAAUAGGGAAAAUGGUACUGUAGAAGAGAAUCGCAGGGAAACAAAAUAUAAUAAUGGUAAUAAUGAGCCACAGCUUUAUUCAGUAAACAUUGGUGAAAUGUAUUUGAGUUGCUGAUGUACGUUUGUUAACCACAUUAUGUAUGUCAGAGAAUGAAGUUUUCUUCAAGGUAUGUAGUACAUGUCAGGGGUUCAGUAGUGCAAAGAAGAUGUGUGUAUAAGUAAUUAUAAUGAAAGGCGAAAAGUAUUAGGCUGAGAGAGAGGUAUAAAUGAGCUGAGACUGUGGCAGACUGGGCAACUAGAAAUGCUUCAUAGGGUGGUAUCUUUGCUAGGUAGCUAGUUCUUAACAGAUUGAAAUUCGAGGUCUAAGAGGUGUCACAGAUUGGAUGUCUGCCAUUUGCCAGAGACUGUGCUAGGCAUUUUACGUGCCUAAUCCAACGGAAUCCUCACAGUAGUUCAAUGAGAAGUGUACUAUCAAUUAUCCUAUUUUAGAACUGAGCGAACUCCUGGCAGAUUAAGUGAUUUUUCUCACAGUCAUGCAGCAGUAAGUCACAGAGCCAGGAUUCAGUCCAGUCAGACAUGAAGGCACCUCUUAAAAACUGGGCUAUACUGCUCUUCAUUCUAGACGUGAAUUCAGCAGUUCAGUGUUUGGAAAAGCACAGACUAUGUUCUAAAAACACACACUAGCAAUUGGCUGGAGAAUAGUGUGUGCGGAGUGUAGAGAGCAGUGGGGAAUAAGGUUGUUCCAGUAAGUUAAGGGCAGAUCACAGAGAACUUUGAAUACUUUGGUAAGAAAUGAGAGCUUUUUGUGAGGUGAUGGAAGCAUUAAAUGCCUAUUGGUAAAGUGGCAGGACCAGAUAUGUGCUUUAUUUAGGAGGACAACUCAGUGUGAAGGGGUGGGAUAAGAGGCAUAAAAACCAGUUAGGCAGCUAUUCCAGUACUGGUGCAUGAGUGAAAAGGCAUGCAUGUCUCCAAGAAUAUGUGAUUUCCUCCUAUAAACCUACUUGGGAUUGUUUCAUUGAAAAAAAAAAAAAACCUAUCCUCUAAAGAACAUAAAGUAGGAAAUAAUUAUUACAUGUAUAAAAUGUGCACUUAUUUUAUAAUAGGGUUUGUUUUAGAGAAUUUUUUGCCUGUGAAUUUCAGGAACUUUAUAAAUUGAUCUAUGUUUAUGUAAUAUUCUUUAAAGAAGCAUUCACCAAUCAAUCAUUGUACAAAGAAAUAUGGAGAAUAUGGAUAUAUCCCUUAAAGCUAAAACCUCUUUCUUACAUGACUCCAUUUUUCUUCUCCACCUUAUGAAUGCCAUUAACUGUAUUAUUACACAUCAAAUAAAUUUCUAAAACAGUUCCAAAGAAACAGAAACCAGCACAGUCAGACAAUGGAAAACCCUUACAGCCUGUUGCCUCUGGACCAUGCUCUGAACUGACAAGUAGUUCCCUUACCCACUGUGGUGCUCACGUUCCUGAGACGUGUGUGUCACUAAGAAGCAAUGUUUGGUACCAUGACACUGGCUUAUUAUGUGGAGUUCACCCUUGUCCAAAGGAAUUGCUCAUGAGGAAGCAGGCUCUGUAGUUCUCCUUUUAUGAGGGCUUUAUCCCCGUCAUUUCCUACCCUGAAAUUUAGAACAAACAAGUAAUGAAAAUUAGGUUUGCUGUGAGAUCUUAUCACUCACCCCUGGGAGCUUAACAGCAAAACUAGAAACGUGUCUCAUGUAACCCAGAGCAAAUGGAAAUUGCAGUACAGGUUGAACAUCCCAAUUCAAAAAUCCAAAAUCCAAAAUGCUCAAUUUCAGAUUUUGAAUUUUCAGAUUAGGGAUGUUUACACUAUAGAGUCUAUGCAAAAAAUCCAAAAUCUGAAAAAGUCUAAUAUCUGAAAUACUUCUUGUCCCUAGAAUUUCAGAUAAGGGAUUCUUAACCUACAUUUUACAUCUCUCCACUGGCCGACAUUUUUCAUUUGCUGCCUAAAACAUGAUCACCUGGAUAUUAUGGAAUCAAUUCAUUUUAAGUGUAGGAGGGAUCAUAUUGAGAUGAGUUUUAUUUUUUAGAGGUACAUAUUAAAUAUUUAUAAUUUGGGCUGGGGAUUUAGCUCAGUGGUUCCACCGCCUGCUUUGCAAGCUCAGGGUCCUGAGUUCAAUCCCCAGCACCAAAAAAAAAAAGAACCAAAAAAAAAUAUUUAUAAUUGGAACUCUGAAGCGGGGCACUGUGGCUCACACCUGUAAUCACAGCUAUAUGGAGACUAAAGCAGGCAGAUCAUAAAUUCAAGCCAACCUGGGCAACUCUGUCUCAAAAUUAAAUAAAGAAGGUUGGGGAUGUAGCUCAGUGGAAGAGUGCCCACUUGCCUGAGGCUCUGGGUUCAAUCCCCAGUACUGGAAAAAACAAAAAGAAAUGAAAAAGGAAGAGGGAGCAAAAUUAAUUGUGAUGCCUGGGAUUUGCUUCAAAAUAGCACAGGAUAUGGGGCCGGGGAUUUAGCUCAGUGGUUCCGGUGCCUGCCUCGCAAGUGCAAGGUCCCGAGUUUGAUCCCCAGUACCAAAAAAAAAAAAAAAAAA